AGAGUUUGAUCAUGGCUCAGGACGAACGCUGGCGGCGUGCCUAACACAUGCAAGUCGAACGGGGCUUAUGAUGAAACCUAGUGAUUUAUAAGCUUAGUGGCGGACGGGUGAGUAACGCGUGGAUAACCUGCCUAUCAGCUCGGGACAACACCGGGAAACUGGUGCUAAUACCGGAUACGCUCAUUUGGACACAUGUACAGAUGAGGAAAGGAGCAAUCCGCUGACAGAUGGGUCCGCGUCCCAUUAGCUGGUUGGUGGUGUAACGGACCACCAAGGCGACGAUGGGUAGCCGGCCUGAGAGGGUGAACGGCCACACUGGAACUGAGACACGGUCCAGACUCCUACGGGAGGCAGCAGUGGGGAAUCUUCCGCAAUGGGCGCAAGCCUGACGGAGCAACGCCGCGUGAGUGAUGAAGGCCUUCGGGUUGUAAAACUCUGUCUUCAGGGAAGAAAAAAAUGACGGUACCUGAGGAGGAAGCCCCGGCUAACUACGUGCCAGCAGCCGCGGUAAAACGUAGGGGGCAAGCGUUGUCCGGAAUUACUGGGCGUAAAGGGCGCGUAGGCGGUUAUUUAAGUCAGAGGUGAAAACUCUGGGCUCAACUCAGAGCCUGCCUCUGAAACUGGAUGACUUGAGGGCAGGAGAGGGGAGUGGAAUUCCCAGUGUAGCGGUGAAAUGCGUAGAUAUUGGGAGGAACACCAGUGGCGAAGGCGGCUCUCUGGCCUGUUACUGACGCUGAGGCGCGAAAGCGUGGGGAUCAAACAGGAUUAGAUACCCUGGUAGUCCACGCCGUAAACGAUGGGUGCUAGGUGUAGGAGGUAUCGACCCCUUCUGUGCCGUAGUUAACACAAUAAGCACCCCGCCUGGGGAGUACGGCCGCAAGGUUGAAACUCAAAUGAAUUGACGG
rnacentral:rRNA from 1 species